rnacentral:rRNA from 1 species
AUGAACGCUGGCGGCGUGCCUAACACAUGCAAGUCGAGCGAACGGACGAGAAGCUUGCUUCUCUGAUGUUAGCGGCGGACGGGUGAGUAACACGUGGAUAACCUACCUAUAAGACUGGGAUAACUUCGGGAAACCGGAGCUAAUACCGGAUAAUAUUUUGAACCGCAUGGUUCAAAAGUGAAAGACGGUCUUGCUGUCACUUAUAGAUGGAUCCGCGCUGCAUUAGCUAGUUGGUAAGGUAACGGCUUACCAAGGCAACGAUGCAUAGCCGACCUGAGAGGGUGAUCGGCCACACUGGAACUGAGACACGGUCCAGACUCCUACGGGAGGCAGCAGUAGGGAAUCUUCCGCAAUGGGCGAAAGCCUGACGGAGCAACGCCGCGUGAGUGAUGAAGGUCUUCGGAUCGUAAAACUCUGUUAUUAGGGAAGAACAUAUGUGUAAGUAACUGUGCACAUCUUGACGGUACCUAAUCAGAAAGCCACGGCUAACUACGUG